AUUGAACGCUAGCGGGAUGCUUUACACAUGCAAGUCGAACGAGUGGCGGACGGGUGAGUAAUAUAUCGGAACGUGCCCAGUAGCGGGGGAUAACUACUCGAAAGAGUGGCUAAUACCGCAUACUAUGGGAGCGGCCGGUAUCGGUUGAGCUAGUUGGUGGGGGAAAGGCUCACCAAGGCAACGAUCCGUAGCUGGUUUGAGAGGACGACCAGCCAACCUGGGACUGAGACACGGCCCAGACUCCUACGGGAGGCAGCAGUGGGGAAUUUUGGACAAUGGGGGAAACCCUUAUCCAGCCAUUCCGCGUGUAUGAGAAGGCCCUAGGGUUGUAAAGUACUUUCAGUCGGGAGGCGUUACCGACAGAAGAAGCACCGGCUAACUCCGUGCCAGCAGCCGCGGUAAUAC
rnacentral:rRNA from 1 species